rnacentral:rRNA from 1 species
UACAGGGGGUGCAAACGUUGCUCGGAAUCAUUGGGCGUAAAGCGCACGUAGGCGGUUCGUUAUGUCGGAUGUGAAGGCCCUUGGCUUAACCGAGGAAGUGCAUCCGAAACUGGCGAGCUAGAGUACUAAAGAGGAUCGCGGAAUUCCCGGUGUAGAGGUGAAAUUCGUAGAUAUCGGGAGGAACACCGGUGGCGAAGGCGGCGAUCUGGGUAGAUACUGACGCUGAGGUGCGAAAGCGUGGGGAGCGAACAGG